GUGAACGCUGGCGGCGUGCCUAAUACAUGCAAGUCGAACGACCCGCUUCAAUAGCGGGAGUGGCAAACGGGUGAGUAAUACGUAGGAACCUGCCCUUAAGAGGGGGAUAGCUCGUCGAAAGACGGAUUAAUACCCCAUAAUUUCCGCUUGCGGAUAAAGGAGCAAUCCGCUUAAGGAGGGGCCUGCGUCCGAUUAGCUUGUUGGCAGGGUAACGGCCUACCAAGGCGAUGAUCGGUAGCUGGUCUGAGAGGACGACCAGCCACACUGGGACUGAGACACGGCCCAGACUCCUACGGGAGGCAGCAGUAGGGAAUUUUCCACAAUGGGCGAAAGCCUGAUGGAGCGACGCCGCGUGCAGGAUGAAGGCCUUCGGGUCGUAAACUGCUUUUAACAGGGAAGAUUAUGACGGUACCUGUUGAAUAAGGAUUUGCUAACUCCGUGCCAGCAGCCGCGGUCAUACGGAGGAUCCAAGCGUUACCCGGAAUUACUGGGCGUAAAGAGUUGCGUAGGCGGUUCGUUAAGUUUUUGUUUAAAGCCCGAGGCUCAACUUCGGGAAUGUGCAAAAAAACUGGCGGACUAGAGGAUGACAGAGGCGAGUGGAAUUUUCAGUGUAGGAGUGAAAUCCGUAGAUACUGAAAGGAACACCGAUGGCGUAAGCAGCUCGCUGGGUCAUUCCUGACGCUAAGGCACGAAAGCGUGGGUAGCGAACCGGAUUAGAUACCCGGGUAGUCCACGCCGUAAACGAUGGAUGCUAGCUGUUGGAGGUAUCGACCCCUUCGGUAGCGAAGCUAACGCGUUAAGCAUCCCGCCUGGGGAGUACGAGCGCAAGCUUAAAACUCAAAGGAAUUGACGGGGACCCGCACAAGCGGUGGAGCGUGUGGUUUAAUUCGAUGGCACGCGAAGAACCUUACCAGGGCUUGACAUCCUCGGAAUCCCGUCGAAAGUCGGGAGUGCCCGCAAGGGAAUCGAGAGACAGGUGAUGCAUGGCCGUCGUUAGCUCGUGUCGUGAGAUGUUGGGUUAAGUCCCGCAACGAGCGCAACCCUUGCGUCCUGUUGCCACCCUAUCGAGAGAUGGGAGCACUCUGGACGGACUGCCUCGCUUCAACGAGGAGGAAGGUGGGGAUGACGUCAAGUCAGGAUGGCCCUUACGGCCAGGGCUGCACACGUACUACAAUGCCCGGUACAAAGGGAAGCAAGACCGAUAAAAAGGUGGAGCAAAUCUCGAAAAAACCGGGCCCAGUUCAGAUUGAGGUCUGCAACUCGACCUCAUGAAGCCGGAAUCGCUAGUAAUGGCGCAUCAGCUACGGCGCCGUGAAUACGUUCCCAGGCCUUGUACACACCGCCCGUCACAUCAUGAAAGCCGGUUGUACCCGAAGUCGCUGGAGCCAACCCGCAAGGGAGGCAGGUGCCGAAGGUA
rnacentral:rRNA from 1 species